rnacentral:lncRNA from 1 species
GAGGGAAGGAGCCCAGAGGAAACACUGCACUUUGGAGUCCAGAGGAAAGAUGAGUAAUGUAUCCUUUCCUAAAGGAAAGGAUAAGUAAAGAGGGUGGAAGGCAAGAGAAGUGUAGCAAGCCUUGCAAAAUAAGUAUUAGGGGUAGGGAAAGGGAAGGCUCACACCUUCCCUGUGCAGCGUGGGCACAGGUGCGGAGGUCAGCAAUGGCGUGGCGUAUUGGUGUUUCUGCCUCAUAUUUAGGAAAGAACAGGGAUGACUGUGCUCUGGAAGCUUUCAAUCUUGAGGGCUGAGGCUGGAGAGGAAGGUAGCCUUGUGUGCUAGGUGGAGGGGUCAGGGCUUUAUCCUGUAGUAACCUACAGGAGUAUUGGGGUAUUGUGGAAGUUUUUGAACAGGAAGUUUUGUGAUUAGCUUUGUGUUUUAGGACUAGGACAUGGUCUUCUUCCUUCCUUAUCAGGCUGUAGGUAUAAAUGAAGUUAUGUUGAGAGUGAAGUUGGUGUUUUGCUCUUGUAAUUUUAUAUGCCCCUUCCAUCUGCUGAACUGCAAGACACCAGCCUCCAUUCAACUAUGGUAUCUUAGGGAGGCCCUAAAGUGGGGGUAGUGCUGCCAGUAAUUCUGGGUCUCUUGCUGCCUGGUCACUCAGCAGCUCUCCAGACUUUGGAAGUUUGCUUCCCUGCCCCCUAUAGGUUCUCUGCCCUCAUUCAGACCACCUGUGCUCAUCUGUUUUUUGCAGGUAGGGAAGGUGCUCCUUUGUGUUCUGUCCUCGUCUCUCAUCUUUAUCUCUCACACCCAUUUCUAUUUGCUUUCCUUUUAGCUCUUGAGUCAAAUCCUAUUAACAUAUGGAAAGGAUUCCUAAGUCAGUAGGUUAGACAAUGCUGUGUCUAAAUCAACAAGAAAAGUCUAAAAAAUCUGCAAGCCCAUGGCAGAGUUACUUAGGCCUAGAAGUAUCACAAGAUUUAAUCAAACUUGUUUUUUAGUUUGAGAACGAUGCCUUUCUUCCCAGUGCACAGAUCUAGAUUUGAGGCUCGUUUUUAAGGAAACAUUUGUUGAUUUGGCCUAUUGUUGAAAGCUUUUUACCUCCCCUGAGUUAGGUCAUCAGUGUGAAUUGAUGGUUAUAUUAAAGUAAAUUCCCAGCAAGUCAGAAAUAUUUUAGAAAGCAAACUGAAUUUUGGAAACAUUUCUAUUGUGAAUGUCGUGCCUCUCUUCUUUAGUGUCAAGAAUUCUGUGGAGGAGAGCGGGGACAUAAUGGAGAGGGAUGGGUUCUGGAAUCAAACUGCAGUAGUUCAAAUCUGGAUUCUGCCACUUACCAUGUGGCCUUAGGCAGGUUCCUUAGCUUUGUUCUGUCUCAGUUUCCUCAUCUAUAAAAUGAGGAUAAUAAGAGUAUCUACUACAUAGAAUUGCUGUAAAACUAAGGGAUGAGAACAGUUUAUCAGGCUGUGGGUAUAAAUGAAGGCUCAGUUAAGUGUGAUGGUGAUAAUUCCGAGGUGCCGCUGCUUUCUGUGUCAGCUGACAGGAAGAAAAGGAAGAGAGUGGUAAAAUUGCAGCCAUGUAGAAAGGGAUUAAAUUAGUAGAACUUUCAGAUGGGUUGAGCUGUGGGACACAGCUUUGCCUCCCAAAUGGGCAGAGCUGCAAAAAGUUGGACACUAUUUUUCUGUGGAUAAGAUUCAGGCUAGGACUGACAACUAUUUUUAUGGGGGACUUUAAAUGCAGUUUUGUCUAGAAUCAGAUCUGACCUGGACAAGUAUUGUCUCAUUGAGGUGAUAUGGCUCUCAUCAUAGGGUGUGGAGGAGUUUGGAAAAGUGAGCUAUUAAAAAAGACAUGUUGUGGAAGGAAGAAAGCAUUCCCCUCUUGCUCUUGCACUCUGGUUGUUCUGAGAGUAAAGUACUGGCAGGCUCAGAAACCAAUUCAGUAGUGGCUAAAAGCCCCAAGCUUCUGGCAGCAGAAGCUCCAGGGGCAGAAGAUUCCUUAGCUGCUAACCAAGGAAGGUUGGGUCUUUCCUGCCCUGGCCUUGGAGCCUGGUGCUGCUGCUCAGCAUUUAGCCUGGAAGGCAGGAAGUGUCUUCAUGAAUUUCAUUGUCUCAAGUUAUUCAUGUAGUGUGACCACUGGAACCUUAAGAGCACCCAAGCCCAAUGUCCUUGUGAUUUUCUGUCCCAAUCUGGGUAUGUAGGAUGGAUCAAGUGUUCACCAUGGCCAAGCUGCCUGAUGCUCUGUGAGUAGAAGGCCUGUGUCUCCAUGUUCUUCAGCAAUCUCAGUGAUGGAGGACUUUCUGGGACAUUAGUAGUUGACCAGUCACCAAGAGAAGGAUGUCUUCCCUUCAUUCCUCAGUCUUCCCCUCCAUUUUUGUGUAAAAAUGAUUUUCUGCUAUGAAAGGCUUAACAUUAAAACUUUAGUAAUUAAAUAAAGUCAAUUUUAGAAAAAAAUCCCCUUCUCACCCACACAAUUCUUUUUGCACAUUCUCCAUUAGCUUGGCCAUGUCGUGAAUAUAGUUCUAAAGAUUUGCAACCUAUAGUCUACAAUUCGUAGUCUGGAUUUUCACUCGACAGCAUCACUGGCAUUGCUAUGUUUUUUAUAAUUAUUUUUUAGGGAUUCAUGACGUGUAUUCCAUUGAGUUACUAUGCCAUCAUUUUUUCAAUCGUUCCCUACUGAUGCACAUUUGGAUUAUUUUCUAUUUUGGGCUGUGAUGGUGACCACUGUAUGAAUGUUUGUGUUUAUAGUCAAUUUCUUCUGUUAAAUUCUUCCUUUGGCUUACUGGUUGACAGUAUGAACAUUUUUAUUCUUCUUAACAUAUUACCUUCCAAAGGGAUCAAACCAAAUGUACAAUGUUACCAGCUAUGUAUGAUGGUACCAUUUCCUUCUCAACUUUUCUCACAUUGGCCAUUGCCAUCAAAAUGUGUAUUAUUAACUUUUUAGCAGAAACAUAGUACUCUACCUCUGCUUCCAUUGUGUUUCUUGAAUUAUUAGUAUCUCCCAUCUGUCUGACUCUUUAGGGCAGAAAGACCUACCAAUUCACUGUCAUCUGCUGGUUUUAACUUUCUAGGACAUCCUCACAAACACCAACUUAAUCCUGAAUAUAUUUUCUUUUUUUUUUUCUUUUUGAGACAGGAUCUUGCUCUGUCACCCAGGCUGGAGUGCAGUGGUACGAUCAUGGCUCACUGGAGCCUUGACCUCCUGGGCUCAAGCAAUUUUCUUGCCUCAGCUCUGCCUGCCCCCUCUGCAGCCCUCCUCCCCAAUAACUGGGACUACAUGCCCAGCUAAUUUUUUUUUUUAGAGGCCAGGUUUCGCCAUGUUGCCCACAUUGGUCUCAAACUCCUGGCCUCAAACAAUCUGCCUGCCUUGGCCUCCGAAAGUGUUGAGAUUACAGGCAUGAGCCACUGCAUCCUGCUUAUUUUCAUUGAUUCUUAAACCCAACUAGAAUCUCCCUGUCUUCCCCUGGACCCUGCCAGAUUUUAUUUUCUUCCAGCUUCUUUCAGUGUAGCACAUUUUAAAUCUAGUCAACUUGUCCAGUUGUUUCAAUUAAGGAAUUAUUGUUCCACGCUCUCUAGACAGCAUUGCUUUCUCUCCCACUGGUAGGCACUGAUUUAGACAAUUAGUAUAAGUGGUGCAGAAACUUUUCCCAUACAUUUGAUUAUAAUGUGUUUUCUCUUGUGGGAGUUUUCUAUGUUCUUUGCCAUUUCAUCCAUUCAUUUCAACAAAUGUUACUGAAUGACUAAGAUAUUCUGAAUGGUAGAGAUAUGACAGUGAAGAUACAGGCUCUGCCUUGUCCAGCUCUCAUUGUACAGGAAGACACACACUAUUAGCAAGCAAGUAAGUGAAGUAUAAGCCAGGCAGUGAUAGGUGCUAAGGAGACCAACACUAACAUGGGAUAAAGGGACCGAGAAUGCUGGAGAGGUGUGGGAAAUGAUGUGCUGCAGUUGGCUUGUGUCAGCUCUUGAAAAUUGUAUGCCUCUCUCCCCGGCUUCAUGUUCAAUGACCUUGGUAGCUUGAAAUUGGCCACAGUGGGAGUAUUUAGAUCCCACACAAAAAUGCUACAAUUCAGGGACAGCUGGUUCUUAAAUAUUUGCCAGCAUACAACUGGAUAUGGGAUAGCUAUUUUGUGUGGGUCAGUCAGGGAAAAUCUGAGCAAGAAGGUGACACUGGGGAGAGACCUGGAGGAAGUGAGGGAGGGAACCAUCUGGGAGUCUGGGCAAGGGCAGAGGGAAAAGCUGGUGCGAGGUCCUGAGGCAGGAUGUGGUGACAUGUUUUAGAACCAGCAAGGAGGCCACUGAAGCAGAUUUGGAGAGAGUAGGAUGCAGGAAAAAAUGGGUAAGAGGUGAGCUGGGAGGCAAGGAGGGAGGGGACUGGUAGGUGAUAUGAUCAGAUUAGGCCUUGUAGGUCAUUGUUAAGUAUUCUGGCUUUUCCUCCUGAUUUGAGAUGUAAGCCAUUGAAGAAUUUUGAGUUGACAAGUAAAAGGUUCUGAUUUAUGUUUUAAAGGGAUCACUCUGGCUGCUGUGUUGAGAAUAGAACUGUAGGAAGGCAGAAUUUCAAUCAUUAGAAAGCUAUUAAAAUAAUCCAGAAGAGAAUUGAUGGUGGCUUGGAUUGGUGGUGGAUGUGGUGAGAAAUGUAUUCUGAACAUAGUCAAGGAAGAACCCUCAGUAUUUACUGAUGGAUCAGAUAGGCUGUGUGUCAGAGAGAAGACAAGGUUGAUGCCUUUUUUUGAAGGCCUUUAUAUAUAUACACACACACACACAUACGUUUAGAGAUAGGUCUCGCUCUGUCACUCAGGCUGGAGUGCAGUGGCACAAUCAGAACUCACUGCAGCGUCAAACUCCUGGGCUCAAGUGAUUCUCCAACCUCACCCUCCCAAAGUUCCGGGAUUACAGGCAUGAGCCACCAUGCGCAGCCCUUUAUUAACUUUGAAGAAAGUGUUUUUAGUUCAGGAAAAUUUGUGGCAUGGUGGCAGUGUUUGGCUUAUACUUCAUUCUUCUACAGAAAUCUUAUUGUGAGCAAAGACUCUCUUUUCACCCUGUUUGACUCUGAGCAGUUUGGUUUGAAGAAGCUAACCAAAUGCAGCUGUGGGGAAAGUGCUAGCUGUCUGCGAAACCCCAGUCUCUCCCUUUCCCAUGCAUAGUAGAGAGUCUGCGCCAGGUAUGAGGCAGCUAGAUGCAUCUUUGGGACCAAGCUUGAGCCAAGGGGAGGUGAGUGGAAGUGUCCUUUCCAGGUGAUUGUCACAUGAAAGGAAAGCCAUUUUUCUGGAAUUCCUCUUUCCUUACCCCAUAAGCUCAAACACAGGUGCUAGAUGUGCCUGUGACUUGGCUUUGACCAUACAGCCGAGGACUGUGGAGCAGUAAGGUGGAGGGAACUGAGGUUCUGGGAUGACCACGUGAAGCAAAGCUGCUCACCCACUCAGGACUGUUACAUCAGAGAGAAAAUAUAAGCUUUUUAAAGCCAAAGCUUCUUGGGAGUCUUUUUAUUACCGUGGCUUAACCUUUCCUCUAACUAAUUCAAAAGCCAAUUCCAAAACAAACCAACCAAUCAGCAGAAAAUCAGAAUGUUGAAAGUGACAUAUUCCAACUGAUGACAAAAGCCUGCAGGAUCAGAAACUUUUGGUCCCAUGUGCAAUAUGCAGUGUUCAUGGCUUCCUACCUGGAGAAAGUUAAGUUUUAUUGUGUUCAAGGAGGUUGAGAGUAUAUAUUUGAUGUCCCAAGAUUGAGGAAGUGGUCCAGCAGGAAGACUGCAUUGAGUUACCAACUUGGGUGAAAAAGAUCAAGGUGAAGAUUUUAUUCCACAAAGUAUAAGGGGCCAGUAGGUCUUUACAGAAUAGAUAGGCUCAGGCCCAAGUAUGGUGGAUUAAGACUGACCUGAGAGAACACGAUAUCAGCACAUCCAUUGAUGGGAAGGAAGGACGUUGACCCAAUAGGCCAUUGGCUUUGUGGAACAACAGUCUUGAAAACCCUUGGAGAAGAUAGGUGCAGCCAACUCUGGAGGACUGCCUGAAAGGGAGCAGAGCCUGUAGAGGAGGCAUGGAGCCUCUGGAUGAAGGGCCGGUGCAACAUUCAGAGUUCAGUAUUGAUCGUGUUUGUGAUUUAAACACUCAGAGACCAAGGAAUUGACCACUUUGAUGUGGAUUGAUGGUUUCCUGAUGCUUUAUGACAGGUGUGGCCCAGGGACCUCUCCCCCAAGCCUGGGAGAAUCAUCCUCUGCUGUUAAACAGCUCAAUCAUUUCUCAUCCCUGGCAUCCUCACUGGUCCAUUGGCUCCUCCCUUCCUCCCCUCUUACCUACAAGUGCUGACCCUUCCUGGGCUGCUGCCAAACAUGACCCUGGAUACUGUGAGUCUCAGGCUGCUGGGCUACCAGGAUCAGAAUCAAGAAGGGAAAAGGAUCAAAAUUUAUAGAGUAUCUUUUAGAGUACUAGCAUGGUCAUUUCAUUACCAACUUUGCAAAAUAGGUAUCAUUGAUCCCAUUUUAUAGACGAAUAAGUUGAGUCUGAUGGAUAACUUGCUAUGUGAGGGACCCAAGCCUGCUAAUUCUACACUUUUGCACACUCUCACUUUAUUGCCUACAGAAGAGCUCAGAAGGAGAGGGAGGGAGAGGGGGACGGGAAGUAGAACUGUCCCUGGGGUAGAAAUAAAUUGGAGUGCUGGACAUGUGCAUUAGGAGCCUACUAGGCUGUAUUGCAGAUGACUCAGUAUGCAAUGGGCAGGAAGGAGGGGUGAAGAGAGGAGUAGGCAGUUUUCUCCAAAGCUGCUUUACAACAACAUCCCUGAGUGUGAACAUAAGUGAGUCUACAUGUCUAUCUCUGCCUCUUCUACACAUACCUUUGCAGGUUGCUGUGUGGAGUUUUUUGGUGCCUUCUUUUCUAAUUUAACUUGAUUUCCUUGAGGAUGGCAGAGCUGGACAUGUUCAGGAAACCUCAGAAAAAGAGCUGUAUGUCACUAAGUCAGGAAGAGGGCCCAGAGGUCAGGGUUUCUCAUCUGGGGCCAUCAAUACCGGCCUCCUUCUAGCUCUGUCAGACACUUGGCCCCUUCUGGGUACUCUGGCAGAGUUUGGUACCAUUCUCUCACACUGAAGAGAGACCCUCAUAGGUAGAGGCAUUGCAAGCUGCAGGCUGUGGCUCACAUUGCAAUGUAGCUGUAUCAGCCAUGAUUUUUAGUUACAGGCAUCAGCCAACUCUGGCUGACUGAAGCCGAAGAGAGUUUGAUGCAAAGAACACUGGGUGGCUGGAGAAUCAGUAGGAAUGCUGACAGUAAGGCUGGAGAAUAAGCAGCCUGGAGCAGCACCGAGAAUCACAUGGUGGAAGGAGUCUGGAGAAACUUCUACUGCUUCAGCCAUUGAAUGUUGGGCACUAUCAUUGGCAUCACAGUCACCUCUGUGCACAAACUUGAACCUGCAGUAGGGAGAGAGAGAACUCCACCCUUCCUGUGUCUAGCUCCAGAGUCAAAACCCAGGGUGGCACAUGGUGGAUGGAUCCUGUGUACAGCCUGUGCCUGGCUGCAAAGGCUGCUGGGAAAGCCAGUUGCUGCAUUUUUGGCAUCUACAGUGGGAAGCAGCCACUGAAGACAAUGAAGACUCAUGAAGUGGGAACUUCUCAAUGAAAAAGGAGUUCAAAUAUUGGGUGGCCAAAUAAAAUGAUAAAUAUUCACUAUCAUUGCCUUAGUUGAGAAUCGAGAAGCUGGGGGCAGUGUGAGGGUACUGAUGGCAACAUUCUCUAACAGGUAUUGAGUGAUUAUUCUCUGGGCUAACUAUUCUAAAUGCAGUAUCUCAUUUAAUCCUUCCGACAAAUCUCCCAGGCAAUUACUAAUAUUGUACCUAUUUUCCAAAGGAGACAACUGGAUUGUAGACAUGACUGUGGCACAUACCUAGUAGGUGUCUGAGCUGAGGUUCUGGCGUAGGCAGUCUGUCUUCUGAGACUGUGCUCACAUUUUCAUGAUUGAGGGCUGGUGAGGAACUCUAGGGGUAUUUCUUUAAGUUAAAGCAUUAAAACCAGCUGUCCCUAGUGCUCAUCAUUCCAAUUAUGCCACAUUAACUCCAGUCUUUUAAAAAUCCCGUCUCAAGGUACUUCUAGGAGUCUCCAAGAUGGCUUGUGUGAACACGUGUCAGACCAGGUUAUUGGAGGCCACCGUGCUGUCACCUUCCUCUGCCAAGUCCAGGCCCACUGUGGGGACCGCUGUCCAGGCUUAGAAACUCCGGUAUGAACACUGGUGGGCGGGCACUCUCCCGUAGCUGCCCUUGGCCACAAUGGAGAUCUCCCCUGGCCCUCUCCCAGACUGAGUCACCUGUACUACACAGUUUGCCCUGUUUGACACAACUGCCAGCCAAACCUGAGAUCCUCCUGGGUCACUGGCCAUGCCCAGGAGAGGCCUCGAGGAGCCAAUCUUUGCAGCCCAGCCACAGAUGCUCUUGGCCAUCAAGGAGCUUUACUGAGCCCUGUCAGGGGACAGGAGGAUUCACUUCCCUCAGCUCCCCUCUGUGAGACACCUAUAGUAAGGCUACAGAUUUCAAAGGGACGCCAAAUUUGGUUGUUUCCACCAGCGAAACCCAUUUUUGCCCUAGGGCCCACAUAGAUCAUCAGCAUAGUGAUGUCAGCAGCACCCUUCAGGCCCAGGGGCAGAAAACUGCUGGUUGUGACAUCCUUCCUCUUCUCCUCCCCUUUAAAGACCCUGCCUUCCUUUUUCAUAAUUGGCUCAAAUCACUCUCCUCCCACUCUGAUCUCACAUUCAUUAAUUCAUCUGGUCAACAUCAAAUAUUCAUUAUGCACCAAUUAUCUGUAAAACGGGGAUAGGAAUAAUGAUAUUUCAUUGUCUUGGUUUCGGUCUUCGUGCAAGCAGACUUGAGACAAGGGCUUGGUUGCAGGCUUUUUAUUCGGGAGGUGAUCCCAGGAAGCAGGAGUGAGGGAGCAGGAAGAUUGAGCAGGGAAGGAGGAAAACAGUAACCUAAGGGUGUGCUAUUGGUUACUGCUGCUGGCAGUGGGAGCCCAAGUGCAUUGGCACAUCUGAGAAGCACACAGAAGCAUCCCAGGAUUGUCCUCCUGAAGGAAGGGAGGCAAGAGCAUUUAUCCAUAGCUCCUAGCCCCCUUGGUAGAUAGUUGCCUUGGGACAGGGAGUGAGAGGUUGGGGGUUACCUGCCCUGACCUUUAGAGGGCUGAGCUGAUUUCUGCAGCUUUAGCAAGUCUUUAAGGCAGAGAGGAGCAAGCCAUGGGCACAUGCCUAAGUGGCACUGUCCAAGGAAGAAGCUCCUCCUUGCAGUUGGACUGAAGUCAAGAGUGGGAUGAGGGGCCGUGAUACAGCACGGAAAACAUACACUACACUUUCUCAUGAAGUAGUUACCAUUAACUGAGUUAAUUUAUGUAAAACACCUAGAACAAUACCUGCCCCCAAUAAGGCUAUAUGUGUGUGUUUGCUGCUAUUAUUUGUGUGACUAUUACAUGUGCCUGGUGCUUCUCCAGGCUCUGUAGGUAACACUCUCAUGAGACUUACUUUCAGCUCACAAAACAUGCCUUGUUUAUGUGUCAAAGCUCUGAUUCUUGAUACUGUCCAAGUUCUUUUGCCAGGAGAUUCUCAGCCCCCAUGUUUGGGGAUGGCCAGGGGACAUGGCCCCACUUGACUGCCUGCCUUGCCAGUAUCUCUGAUCCAUUUUGGAGGCCUGCCCUGCCAUGCUCUGCUUCCCAGGAUCCUGAACAAGGAUUUGAGAACUAAGGUUUGAAUUCUGCAUAUGAAACAGUCAAACUCAAGUUGUCCAUCUGCUGGGAAAAGAAAAUAGCUUCAGAGCAAAGUCACUUGCCUUUUAAUAAUUGAUGGAUAAAAGAUUGCAGCAUGUGCAAAAACACACUUUCCAGAUCUGCCACUAAGAACGGUUCGGGCAGAAGAAACUGCUCUUUCCAUUGCCCCAGAGGCCAGGCCUGCCCUCAGCUAAUCUGGUGACCUAAUCCUUUCACAUGGGGGAGGACCAGAGCAUUUGCAUACAAGCAAUGAAUGCAUCUUUCCACCAGAGGCUUCCAGAGGCAAGUCCAAUCUAGUUAGUGCUUAUCUGUCCAAGCUGGCUGACCUUCUCCCAGUGCACAGUCCAGUCCCAAGUCCUCCCACCCCUGCCUUGUUCCCAGAACGAGUCUUGACUAUUCUAGCCUCAUACCUCGUCCCUAAGUUGCAACACUUGAUAUGGCUCCUUGAGGACUGCCUUGGCCAUCUCCUUGUUGCCGCUCCCACUGACUGCUUGGGUUUCAGCAGUUCACGGCUUCACGAGGCAACCCCUCCCUCUUGGUUCUAUGAUAACAUAACCGGUCACAGGCCUUUUGCCCAGCCCAGGCACUGAGGGACUGGGACCUGCCCUGGCCCCAUCUUGGCUUUCACAAAUGGGAGCUGGUGAGGUCUCACCCAGGUGAAACCCGGAAUUCACUUUCCUUUCAAAUGUUAAUAUGUUGCUGUGAAAACAUGCCUUUAUCAGUCCAGAAUCCUGUGUCUGUAAUCUCAAUAUCUAAAAGCUCUGAAAGCCAAAAGUUGGUUAUAAUCUGCAUGGUAGCAAAAUCUAACAGGGUUAAUUUCAUUUUCCAGAAUUAUCUGACCUGCACUAAGUGGAGGCUAUCUAUUGCCUUUAUUGAUCUCAUUUGGUGUGAAUACGCAUACAUGCUGCUGGAGAAAUAUUAAUGUCAUUGAUUACGAGGUGUCCCAGAGCUCACUGGGGUGUUGAUGUAUGAAGUGGUAUGUGCACCAAACUGCCUUUCUAAAAUACAUUCUGAAUUCUGAAACAUACCUGGCCCCAAGAUUUUGGAUGAGGAAUUUAGGCCUGUAUUAAAAUUAACCCAGGGAGGGUUAGGGCCUGGGAGAAGUGACCAUGAGUGGCCAUUGUUAUCUAAAGCUAAUGCAGGGAGCCAGGGGCAGCAGUGGCCUGAGUUAAAUAUCACUGGAUCCUUUAGUAUAAUUACAGAGUCAGGACUUAAGGAGAGUCAUUGACAUCCCUUUCAUCAAAAAGAAAAGAAAGAAUUGCUCCCUGUAAUCCAUACCCAUUAAUUCAGCAUCUCCCCUAGAUAGCUGAAACCCCUUCAGAAAGACUGGAAUAUUUUCUAGAUAAUAAAUCUGGGUCUUUAUCUUUCCCUUUUCUUCUUUCCCCUCUUCCCUUUGCCCCAUCCCUGAACUUCCCCCUCUUCUUGUGUUUUUGUCCAUAAAAGAGCAGCUUCUGUCAUUCAUGUGACAAUGAGCCUCCUUAGGUAAUUAAAGGGGAGUCUGCAGCCUGAACUACAAGUGAGAGGUCAUCUUUUUCAGCUUAUAGUCCUACCUCUACUGGGAGUGUGAUUCUGGGGACAAGAAGGAAGAAACGGUGCCAAAGCGCAUGGAUGGCCAAUUGUGCGCCUGGCUCUUCCAUGUGGAGUAGGCAGUGGGGCUGCUUGGAGCACACUUAGUGUUUGCCCUCCAGAUUUUUCCAGUCUCCUCAUAGAUGACCCAUGCCUGAUCUAGAAUAGGGAGGCAGGGUUUUAGAUUUAACUAGAAGUCUUCAUUUGUAUUCUUCCCAGAAGCAGACCCUGAGAUGAGGGUUCUGGGAAAUAAGGAGAACAGCAGUUGGGAAGAGGAGAACAAAGCCAGGGGAUGACUAGAGCUUAAUCCUUUGGGGAAACUCUGGGUAACAGCACAGAACACACCUCAGAGUUAUCUUCCUAAGGUGCCAGAUGAGGGAGUUGAGGUAUUUAUACACCCUCUCCUGAGACUCAUGGGUUGAGGGCUGCUGGAGGCUGCGAUGACAAUGCCCUGACACAUGGGCCUGCUUCCUGGGGGCAAAAGCCUCAGGCACAGACAUACAUACACUGGGGUUUGAAGUUGAUUGUUACAUACUGUAAUAGUAACAUCCAAGCAAUACUAGCAGGGCACUGACAGCAUCUAAUACAGUUUUUUUUUUUUUCACUAAAAUGCAAAGGAAUGUUUGCAUUUCUUUAUCAGAAGAAGGAAAAGAAUGCCAGUCUUCCCAUUUUGAUGGUUGUGCCCACAAGAACCAGCAGAGCCUGGAAGGACAAUAUGCUUGGUAGUGGGAUCAUUUGGGGCUAGUGAGGGGGCAGGGUCUCGGGAAAAAGGGCACGGUGCCUGGUGAAGGGAGUCAUUCUGGGGGUGCUGCAGUGAUGAUGCUAGUGGCAGCUGUGCCCUUGGCAAUGGGAGUGGGGGUCUGCUACUGCAGUGAACCCUGAAAGCAGUAGGGAGGUGCUUCUUUAUAUCCCUUAGAGACUUCAGCAAAAAAUAUCCUUGAAUAAGGCUAGGGUAGGCAAGGGAAAAAUGGCAGGCACAGCAGUGGACUCAGCUUGAUUGUGAAGCCCUUUCUUAGGCUCUGUAUGGGGCUGGAAAUACCACAUGUGUCCUGUUUGGUGGGGAGGGGUCCUGUUGGGUGGAUAAGUGAUGCUCAGAGCAUUUCUAGGGCAGGAGUUGUCAAACUUUUUCCUGCUAAAUAUUAUAGGCUUUAGGGGUACUACUGUCUCUGUUGUAACUACUCAGCUUCCCUAUUGUAUAUCAAGAAAUGGUCACAGACAAUAUGUAAGGAAUGCGUAUGGCUGUGUUCCAUCACAACUUUAUUUAUGGAUGCUGAAAUCAGAAUUUUAUAUAAUUUUCAUGUGUCACAAAUUUUUUUUUCUGAUUUUGUCCAUUCAUUAAAAAAUGCAAAACCUAUUUUUACCUUGUGAGCCACACUGAAACAGGCUGUAGGCUGAAUUGGGCCCGUGAACUGUAUUUGCAGACCCUUGUUCUAGGGCUUCUCUCUGACUUGGGCUCCAGGGUUAAGGGCAGAUUUCCAACCGAUUCUUGACAGCGUAGGAGGGGCAAACCUCCUCCUCACUCCAGUGAGAUAAGUGACUCAUCCAAUAAUGGCAAAGACUCAAAAGCAAGGAGAUAGAACCUCAUGUAUGCGUGGACAUUUAACUGGCUCCGGUGAAGGCUUGAAGCCCUAUUUGCUAAGCUUCUGCUCAUUUGCUGCUCCAGAAAGUGACAGCCUGCAUGACCAGUCCACAGCCUGUUACUUUGGGGAUUUUACAGGGUUCAUAGAGUAAAGAGGAGACUUUGGGUAAAUACAGAUCAAAUAUUUGGGUGACACUGGUAGAGUGAAAAGGUAGACUUUUAAGCCACAUCGCCUUGCACGCAGCUUCCAGCUCUGCCAUUUACAGCCUAGUAAUCUGAAUCAAGACACUUAAUUACUCUGGGUCUCAGUUUCCUCAUCCAUAAAAUGAGGAGCAAUAAUAACCCCCCUUUUAGGCUUAUUAUGAGGAUAAAGUAAGACAAUACGUGAAAUGACCUUGGAUCAAGCUCAGCUUGGCAUCUCAUCUUUACUUAAUGGAUGGUUUUAAAAUUAUUUUUAAUGCCAACUUCACAAAGUUGUGAUAGAAAUUAAAUGAGAUAAAUGUGUAAAGGGCUCAGGGACAUAGUAUGUGUUAAGAAAAUUAUUGCUACUAUUAAAAAUAUGAUGGAGAAAAAAAGGUUAGGUAUUUCUCCAUCUUCUCUUUGGGAUGAUGGCUCUCAAGAGGUGGGAAGAGGAGGACAAUGGCACCUGCAUAAUUUUGAUUGCAGGAUAUUUGUAUUCUUUCCCUUUCUGAAGUUCCUGAAUAGCAAAUGUUUUUGACAGCAAUUGGGUCUGGAUGCCACGUUUUGAAGCCCAACUAACAAACAAGAGAUUAUGAGACUGCAGUUAUCUUUUACCAGCUGCGUGGAAAAAUCCUGUCAUUUGGCAUCACACAACUAUGAAUUCUUUUAUCUCUUUCUCCCUUCUUAUGUGCUCCUGGAGCAUAUGUAAGCAAGCUCUGACAUUGAUAACACAUUCUUAUUAACCAUUAUCUGAAAGAUGGGAUGCCAACUUAGGAGUUUUGCAUUGCAUAUCAGAUGGAAAUUUCCAUUGGGGAAUGGAAUGUUAUCCACUCCUGGCCAAUGACAUCCCAAGGCUGAAGUUACCUUCUACAUACACCAUAGUCUGAGGUCAUGAAUUGGCUAGAUUUCUGCCCAAAUCUUUGCCUACUCCUUCAGAAGGAAAUGGAAUAUGAGGCAACUAUGGGCACUUAGAGGGAACAGAAAGUUGAUUUUCUGUCAUAUAAACGUUAGCUUCUUAGGCAGUGUAGAUGGAGCAGGUGACUGGAGCCAGAGGGAUGGGGUUGUGCUUGUAGAAAGGCCAAAUGAACAGGCUGAGUGGAGACCCUGUGGGGGCCCCUGAGAUGCACCCUUUAAUAUUCAUCCCACUCCAUGUGGUCAGUCUAAGCACAUCAUGUAAUUCCCAUUUUCCUUGACAGAAAUUGGUUAAGUAAAGGGCAUGUUAUCCACUCCUGGCCAAUGAGAUGAGGAAAAGCCUACAGUACGUGUGUGUGUGUUGGUUGGGGGGCAGUCUGGGGAAAGUUUAUCUUCUGUGAAGAAGGAACUCAGAGAGAGAGUGCCUUUUCGCCCUGUGGACUUUGCCAUGAGCGCCUGGUGCUAAGGUGUCAUCCUGCUAUCAUCCCUCUGAGAGACCAGCAUCAAGUAUUCCUGAAAGGCAAGAGGGAUGGUUCCUGGAUCCCUAAGGACAGCAUUGCCUGGCAGCUGAUCUCUACUUGCCUUCAAAUUAUAAUAUCUCUGUGCUUGCUCAUUGUUGAAGUCAGUUUGAGUUGGAACUCUGUUCCUUGUAACCAGAAGGAUCCUAUCUGGGGGCCACAUUUUUGACAUUGGAAUAUCACCAAGGUGAGAAAUAAGGGAAGGGUGUGCACUAGGCAUUUAGAAGAGGGGAGCGGCUGGGCACUUUUAAUGGGUUAGUGUGAAACAUACCUUGUACUCUAUCUGGAGCAUCCUAUAUUAAUUAACUAACUUAUUAAUGAGCCUGUAUAAGGCACCUACUACAUGGUCAGCAUAGGGACAGGUCUUUCUGAGAAUAAAAGAGUCAUAUAAAACAUCAUUCUAGUUGUCAAGCAUCAUAAAAUUUAGUUGGUGGAGACAAGACUAGAAAUAAAACAAAAUAAGUGGUUUAGAGAAGGGCGUGAUGAGUGAGUGCUAGAGUAGGUAAAAGCUUCGUGGGAGAUGGAGAAAGCUAAGCUGGGCCUUAAUCAGCAGAAAGAAUAAAGGUGAGGACAUAGAGACGUUAAGUCACAUGCUCCAACACAGCCAGAAAGUGGCAGAGCUGGGGUUCAAACCCAGUAUGUCUGACUCCUUCCAACCCUGGGCAUGUAACUACUAUGCUGGAGCAUACUUAUGCUCCCAAUGUGUAUUUGUAAGCCUGGAAUGCUCAUAUAUUAAUUUAUAAUGAGAAAUAGAACUGGAAAACAUUAUGAAUUCAAAAUCUGUGAAGCCAAGUUAUAUUCAGAAGGUUCCCAAGGCAGCUUGAAGCUGAUUAACAGACAGGAUAUCCCUGACACCAGGAUGGAGGCAUGUGUCUUGAAGGGCUAGUCCUUCUCUUCCUGGCUAGGUACUGGUAAGAGAAUGGCCAGUUUUGGAGUCUUGGGGCUCCCAUUUAAAUGCUCCAGGCUGUUCCUAAAGUCCUUCUUCAGUCAUGGUGUAAGUCAACUGGUCAGGCCUCUAGGUGUUCAUUAUGUUCACAUUUAAUUCAGUGGUGUACUAGCAAGUGUUUAACAAAUGGCUCUCUGGGGCACUGGGGGAAGCCCUAAUUUGUAACAUUCACCAAGUCAAGUUCCAUGGUGUAAAUACUCCCUCCAAGACUAUUUCAAGCUACCAGCAGGAAGAGAUGCACACAAUCAAUGGCUCUUGAGUGCUGGUACCGGCAGGCUCCAGCACACCACUGUGCUCACAUUGCAUCCUGCCUCUCAGAGCCUUCCCAGAUGCCUUGAUGGGAAUUAUGGAAUGUUCUCAGACUUUUGUAGAACAUUUACCAAAUUAGUCACAGCCAUGUGUGUGAACUUUUUCAGUUUAAUUAUUGGAAAAUGGCCUCACUUCCAAAUUCUUGGAGAACACUGUUUUUACCUUCAUGUACCGUCAACUAAUAGAGCUGUAAGGUGGCCAAAGAAACCAAAGAUGGAUUUCCUUUCUGUAUUGCCUAAAGUCCAGAGUUCUGUUAAAAAUUACUGUCAAGAGUGAGGCUUGGGGUCUGUGCUGCACUGAGUAAUACCAUGGGUAGCAAUAGAUAAAUUGGCACAGAAGAAUCUUCUACAGCACCACCGCCAUUCACCCCCUGCCUCACUUUGCUGUCUUACCCAACAUUACAUGACAGAAAAAAGAAAUUGUGUUGCCUAGUAACAGCUCUGAGCAAGGGGAGACCAGUCAAUACAAUUCUGAAUUAAGGCAACAUCCACAAAAAAAUCCAUCUUGAGGAUUUAUACGAAAACCAAAGUGUAGUUAUAGUCUUACAAGCUGGUGGAGAAGUCCCAUUAGCUUUGGGUAUUGGAUUAUUUAGAAUAAUAUAUCUGAGAUAUAGAUUUCUUUUUCUGGGAAGAAUAAUCUACUCUGAGGCCAUGAAAAUCAAUAGGCCACUUUGAAGACUGACUUCAGCUGUUAUUGGUAAUGUUUUGGUUGUGUUUGUGAAUCAACAAUCAAGCAAAAAUAAGGCCAUUUAGUAGCUCACACUAAAGAGCACUACUUGUCAAUUUUGCAACGAAGCCUCUCCAUCCAUUGAAUGAAACAGCAUCUCCCAAGGGCUGCUGUGAGCCUAUGGAGACCCUGAAAGCUGACACCAGCACAAAGAAUUAAGGAUAAGUCUUCCAGGGUGGCCAGUCAUCCCAGCAUAUUGAGACUGAGGAGUUUCCCAGGAUGCUGGACUUUUAAUGCUAAAACUAGGAAACUCCUUGGCAAACUGGGACAGUUGGUCGCCCUGGAUCAGUGGUUCUCAACUGCAGAUGAUUUUGCCCCUCAGGUAGGGUUGCCAGAUAAAACAGAAGAUACUCUGUUAAGUUUGAUUUUCAGAUAGACAAUGAAUAAUUUUUCAGUAUAAGUAUGUCCCAACUACUACAAUGGGACACAUUUAGAGUUAAAAAGAAUUAUUCUUUGCUUGUCUAAAAUUCGAAUUUAACUAGGCUUUUAACAUUUUUUAAAAAAUUUUUUUUGUAAAACUGACAGUCUUACCCCCAGGAGAUAGUUGGUAAUGAUUGGAAGCCUCUUCGGUUUUCACAACCACAACUUCAUCAGGGAUGCUACUAGCAUCUAGUGAGUAGAGGCCAGGCAUGCUGCUAAACUUCCUAUAAGGCACCAAUGCAGACAACAGCUGCCUAAAACAAAGAAUUAUCUGGCCUGAAAUGUCAGUGGUGCAGAGGUUGGGAAAUCCUGCCGUAGACCUAAACAAGCUGGUGCCACGGAGCUCCAUCUUCCUUGAGAAAACACUAAAGGAUGGACGUGGGCUUCCCUGCUUCAUGCACACAGAUGGAAAAAUGUCACAUACAUUCCUGACCUUUAACACUUUCAGUCUGAUGCGUCAAACAGCCAUUGGGAGCUUAAGAAGUGUCUAGCAAAAUGGGACAAUUCCCCUUGCCGGACUCCCCCUUCCACACUUGGAAGGGUGAGGCAGUGUGUGUCAUCAAACAAUAGAGCAGAUAAAAGCUGAAUCAGGGUGGUCUCCAGGACACCCCCAUCUCCCCAGACUUCUAUGGUGACAUUUCUUGCACUCCUCAAGUUUGUUCAUGGCUUUGAAAACACAGUUUCAGAAUGUCUUCAUUGUUUCAUACGGUACUGGCCGCGCCUGGAGUUUUCCUGAAGGAAACUGUAGCAGCAGGAAUUUUGUGCAAUACUAUAAUAAGGGGGCUUUAUCCUUCCAAAAAUACAUCCUUUCUCCUUGUUGCCAGCUCUCCCACAGCCCUGUGAAAAAUGUAGCUCAGAAGUUACUGAGGCGUUUUUCUGUUUUUCCUUUCUCACUUUAGUUCAUAUCAAGCAACAGAAAGCAAUUCUAUUAUUCACACUUAGGCGUGCUAGCUUGAAUGAAUGAACAAAUCAAAUAUCAAUCCUUUUCUCAUUUCCCUAGUGUGUAAGAACUGAAAUGUAGAAAGUGGCAUCUGCUUAAAAGGAAUUGGUGAAUUUGACUUCUCUAGGUACCUUAUCCAAGUGGAAUGAGUGUUUAAUGGGCACAGAGUUUCAGUUGGGAAGAUCGAAACGUUCUGGUAGAUGGAUGUUGGUGAUGGUUGCACAACUAUGUGAUUAUACUUAAUGUCAUGGAACUGUACACUUAAAAAUGGUUAAAAUAGUAGAUUUUAUGUUAUGUAUAUUUAAUCACAGUUUAAAGAAAGGAAUUGGUGAUGCAUGUCUAUGCAUGUAAGUUUUGAUAUAUGCUUGCUGAUUGAUUAUUUAUCUAAGGUCUGUUUACAUAUUUUCCCCCAGUAAACUUGGUACUUGCCUCAUUGUCCUGUAUCCUUAUCCUUAAAUUAAUUGGACAAUGCCUCUUUCUUCUUCUCCCUCUUCUUAACUCCAGCAGUCACAUGAAGAUAGAAAUAUAUUUUGUCUUUGGAAGUUACUCUUUUUUAAUUUUUUAAUUUUUGUGGGUACAUACAUAGUAGGUGUAUAUAUCUAUGGGGUACAUAAAAUGCUUUGAAAUAGGUAUGCAAUGCAUAAUAAUUACAUCAUGGAAAAUGGGGUAUCCAUCCCCUCAAAUAUUUAUGUUUCAUGUUAUAAUCCAAUUAUACUCUGGAGUAUACGCUGAGUACUCCAAAUGUACUCAAUAGUACAAUUAAAUUACUACUGACUAUAAUCACCCUGUUGUACUACAAAAUACUAGGUCUUAUGCAUUAUUUCUAACUAAUGUUUUUGUACUCAUUUACCAUUCCCCCUCCCCUUCACAGUCCCCCAUUACCCUUCUCAGCCU